rnacentral:rRNA from 1 species
UUUAAGUCUGUUGUGAUAGCCCCCGGCUUAUCCGGGGUGGGUCAUUGGAUACUGGAUGACUGGUGUGCUGAAGAGGAGAGUGGAAUUCCUCGUGUUGCGGUGAAAUGCGUAGAUUUGUGGAGGAUCACCUGUGGCGAAGGCGACUCUCUGGUCUGUUUCUGACGCUGAGGCGCGAAAGCGUGGGGUGCAUACAGGAUUAGAUACCCUGGUUGUCCACGCCGUAAACGAAGAGUGCUAAGUGUUAGGG